CGGGUGACGGUGACGGUGACAAAUAGUCACCGGUGACGAUGACGGUGCUAAAUACGGUUACCGGUGACGGUGACAGUGCAAAUGAAGGUGCACAUUAAGAGUUCUGUUGGCGGUUUUGACAUGAUUAAUAUGUCAUUUAAUGUGUUAUACUAAGUUGUUGUCUUCUUAGUUCUAUAAUGUAGAAGGGUGUUUUUAUCUUUUAAUUGAGAUUAUAGAAAGAUACAAAAUAAGUGACAACCUUGUUACUUGACUGUUGAAUUAAACAUGUACUGGUUGUGUGUGUCUAUGUAAGACCAACCUUAACCGGGGACCUGACCAGACCAGUGACGGAUCCUGCAAGACCAAUUCUCUCCGGC
rnacentral:lncRNA from 1 species